rnacentral:rRNA from 1 species
CCUACGGGUGGCAGCAGUGAGGAAUAUUGGUCAAUGGACGCGAGCCUGAACCAGCCAUGCCGCGUGAAGGAUGACGGCCCUAUGAGUUGUAAACUUCUUUUAUACAAGGGUAAACGCAGAUACGCGUACCUGUCUGAAAGUAUCGUACGAAUAAGGAUCGGCUAACUCCGUGCCAGCAGCCGCGGUAAUACGGAGGAUUCGAGCGUUAUCCGGAUUUAUUGGGUUUAAAGGGUGCGUAGACGGUCGGUUAAGUUAGUGGUGAAAGUACGCGGCUCAACCUUGGAAUUGCCAUUGAUACUGUCAGCCUUGAGUGCAGUUGCGGUAGGCGGAAUGUGUGGUGUAGCGGUGAAAUGCUUAGAGAUCACGAAGAACUCCGAUUGCGAAGGCAGCUUACUAAGCUGCUACUGACGUUGAUGCACGAAAGUGUGGGGAGCAAACAGGAUUAGAUACCCGAGUAGUC